rnacentral:rRNA from 1 species
UACGGAGGAUGCAAGCGUUAUCCGGAAUGAUUGGGCGUAAAGCGUCCGCAGGUGGCUGUGUAAGUCUGCUGUUAAAGAGUCUAGCUCAACUAGAUAAAAGCAGUGGAAACUACACGGCUAGAGUACGUUCGGGGCAGAGGGAAUUCCUGGUGUAGCGGUGAAAUGCGUAGAGAUCGGAAAGAACACCAACGGCGAAAGCACUCUGCUGGGCCGACACUGACACUGAGAGACGAAAGCUGGGGGAGCGAAUGGG